rnacentral:lncRNA from 1 species
AGAUGAGUAUGUAACAACUCCACUUAACUAAACUUGGUCAAGCUGAAAUUUGAGUCUUAGACGCUAAUCUAGCUCGUGAAAAGUCCUUUUUGCCCUUAAGAGCUUAAGUUUGGAGUUAAUUCAAAACUUAGAAUUUUGUAUAGAAACUUAAAGUUUCACCAAACUAAAAGUUGUAGAGUUUUACAUUUCUAACAACUUUCCUUAUUAGCACUUUUGCUAGUUUGGAGUGGAAGAGGUUCAAAAACUAGAAUUAAAAUUAGUAACUUUUGAAACUCACUUCAAAAACUCUGUGCUAAAAACAGUGAAA